AUUGAACGCUGGCGGCAUGCCUAACACAUGCAAGUCGAACGGUAACGCGGAGAGCUUGCUCUCUGGCGACGAGUGGCGGACGGGUGAGUAAUACUUGGGAAUCUGCCCAGUAGUGGGGGACAACAUUCGGAAACGGAUGCUAAUACCGCAUACGCACUACGGUGGAAAGUGGGGGAUCUUCGGACCUCACGCUAUUGGAUGAGCCCAAGUCGGAUUAGCUUGUAGGUAGGGUAACGGCCUACCUAGGCGACGAUCCGUAGCCGGUCUGAGAGGACGAUCAGCCACACUGGGACUGAGACACGGCCCAGACUCCUACGGGAGGCAGCAGUGGGGAAUAUUGGACAAUGGGCGCAAGCCUGAUCCAGCAAUGCCGCGUGUGUGAAGAAGGCCUGCGGGUUGUAAAGCACUUUCAGUAGAGAAGAAAAGCCUAGGGUUAAUAACCCUGAGUCUUGACGUAACCUACAGAAGAAGCACCGGCUAACUCCGUG
rnacentral:rRNA from 1 species